CAAACAAAGCAUAGGCAUGGCCAUGGGAGCAUGGUGGGAGAUGAAGAAGAGCUUAUUAGUGAAGCUGAGUGUGUAUCUGCUGAUCAUCGCCAUGGCUAACUGUGCUCGGGAUAUUCCUGACUCCGUUGCCAAGAACACUCACGUACAAACACCUGCGACGACAUCAGCGAGACGUGGCGCGGGGGGUUGUGCGCCAAGCACGGCACUUGUAACAAGCCGUGCCGAUCCGGGCGGAAGGGUACGACUCGGGCUUCUGCGCCGCCUUCCCCUUCCUGACCACCUACUGCUGUAAGAAGAACUGUGUUGAUGCUCUGCAGCCACGCAGGAGCAGCUUUUUCUGCCAAUGGUGAAAUAAAUAAAUCUCAUUUCGAUC